AUGCAGGAGGAGCCAGCGCCGCCCAGGAAGCGCGGGGGCGCCGUGCACGGGUCGGCGGCGAGGGAGCAGCAGCAGCAGGCGGACGAGACGUCGUCGUCGGCCGGGCCGGGGGCGCCGUGCGGCGCGUGCAAGUUCCUGCGGCGGCGGUGCGUGCCGGGGUGCGUGUUCGCGCCGCACUUCAGCGGCAGCGGGCGGGAGCGCGGCGCGGCGCAGUUCGCGGCGGUGCACCGGGUGUUCGGGGCCAGCAACGUGGCCAAGCUGCUGUCGCGCGUGCCCGUGGCGCUGCGCCGGGACACGGCGCGCACCGUCUGCUACGAGGCGCAGGCGCGCGUCGCCGACCCCGUCUACGGCUGCGUCGGCACCAUCCUCGCCCUCCAGCACCAGGUAGCACUCCUCCAGGGCCAGCUCUCCGUGCUGCAAACCCAGCUCUUCAACUGCAGGCUGGCCCUGGCGAGCACGCACCCGGACGGCGCGGAGCAACUGGCGGUGCUGCAGCCGGCGUACUCCGCGGCGUCGGCGCCGAGCCAGAUGGUGAACUACGACGAUCUUCCGCAGGCCGUGGACUUCAUGGACGUGGAGCCCCAGAUGAGGGGGCUCGAAUCUCUCCAGCUCUCGCAGCCGCCGCACCGAGACGAAGACGAGAGCCAGGGCGUGAGCCCUUUCUCGGAUAAUGCAGGAGGACAACGGCAACUAUGA
rnacentral:rRNA from 1 species